AGGCAACGGAUGUUUCCAAUUCCAAGCUGUCAAUUUAAUGGUCAUAGAAGCUAAGUAGUAUCUAUAAUACUUCAGUAAGUAUGAUAGUCCCCCCUUAUCUGUGGCUUGGAUUUCGGAGGUUUCAGUUAUCCGCAUUAACGGAGGUAUAAAAAUAUUAAACGGAAAAUUCCAGAAAUAAACAAUUCCUAAAUUUUAGAUUUCCAUUCUGAGUAGCAUGAUAAAAUCUCAAGCCAGCCUAUCCUGGAUGUGAAUCAUCCCUUCGUUCAGCUUAUCCAUGUUGUAUAUGCUACCUGCCCGUUAGCCAUUGGUUACUCACUCUGAUGACCAGAUCAACUAGGGUAUCGCAGUGCUCGUGUUCAAGUAACCGUUAUUUUACCUCACAGUGGCCCCAAGUGCAAAAAUAAUGAUGCUAGCAAUUCAGAUAUGCCAAAGAGAAGUCAUAAAGUGCUUCCUUCAAGUGAAAAGGUGAAAGUUCUUGACAUAAGGAAAGAGGGGGAAAAAUUGUAUGCUGAGCUACUAAGAGCUAAGUGUUAACCAAUGAGGAAUUAGAAGAACUUGUCGAGUCAUCUACAGUGGAAGAGGAAAAUGAAGUAAAUUUGGACAUUACUGAAAUUUGCUGAAGUCUUUCAAAUUUCACAGACAGUAAAGACAAAAUUAUGGAAUAUGAUCCUUGGAUGGAACACAGCAUUAAAGUCACCCAUAUGAUCACUGAAGGAUUACAACUUAUACAGCAACACUUCAAUGAAUUAUAAAGAAAAAGACAAUAAUUUCUCAUUACAAGGUUCUUCCAAAAGUUUUCAGCAAAAAAAUCUUCAACUAUUGAGGAUCCCCAACCAUCAAUUGACAUCAUAUGCUUCUGACAUCCAACCCUCAACAUUGUCAUGGCUGAAUGAUCCAAGAUCACCUGAAGCAGAUAAGCCUCCUUCUGAGGUAUCAAUAGAAGGUUGGUAACAGCCUAAUGCUACAUCACAAUGCCUAUGUCAUUCACCUCACUUCAUCUCAUCACAUAGGCAUUUUAUCAUCUCACAUCAUCACAAGAAGAAGAGCAGAGGAGGGGCUGUUGCAGAUAGGGUGGUCAGCAGUGAGGGGAGACCGCAGUUGCAAGGGAGCAGGCCACGUGGAGACAUGGGAGAGGGUCCCAGCCCAGAAGGGAGAGCAAGCGCAAACGCCCCAAGACGAGAAGACUGAAGUUCAGGGAGGUGAACUGACUGGCUCGUGGCCUACACCUAAGAUUCCAGCCCGGCAGUGUGAUCCAGAGCCCGCCUAAGCUACCCCAGAUCUCCCUACUGCUAAACCCACCUGGGGACAAGGAAGAGUAUGGGGGAGGAAGGGCAGCUGUCACCCAAUGGGUGUCAGGGGUUACCUGAGGAGCCCACAGGAAAUCAAGGGAGUUGCCUACAAAGCUCCUUUUGGUCACAAUCUGCCCUUUGGAAAAGGGCUGUUCCUGGGCUGUUAUUAAUUUCCUGCCAUUAUUUCCUGUCUAUUCUCCCUCUGGAAUUAAUAAGGUACUUUUGAAAAAUGCCAACCCAGUUGAUUUGGAAAUUCUGGUCCUUACAAUGGAAUGCUCUGCAGUCAUUAAAAAGAUUAAGGUCAGUCGGGCGCGGUGGCUCAUGCCUGUAAUCCUAGCACUCUGGGAG